GGAAGCGGCAGAAAACUGGUGUUUUCAGCAGUCUUCAAAACUGUAUUGGUGGGACAUAGUUCCAUGAUAGGUUCGAUUCCUAUACGCUUCCGCCA
rnacentral:tRNA from 1 species